CUACGGGGGGCUCCAGUGGGGAAUAUUGCACAACGGGCGCAAGCCUGAUGCAGCCAUGCCGCGUGUAUGAAGAAGGCCUUCGGGUUGUAAAGUACUUUCAGCGGGGAGGAAGGGAGUAAAGUUAAUACCUUUGCUCAUUGACGUUACCCGCAGAAGAAGCACCGGCUAACUCCGUGCCAGCAGCCGCGGUAAUACGGAGGGUGCAAGCGUUAAUCGGAAUUACUGGGCGUAAAGCGCACGCAGGCGGUUUGUUAAGUCAGAUGUGAAAUCCCCGGGCUCAACCUGGGAACUGCAUCUGAUACUGGCAAGCGUGAGUCUCGUAGAGGGGGGUAGAAUUCCAGGUGUAGCGGUGAAAUGCGUAGAGAUCUGGAGGAAUACCGGUGGCGAAGGCGGCCCCCUGGACGAAGACUGACGCUCAGGUGCGAAAGCGUGGGGAGCAAACAGGAUUAGAUACCCCAGUAGUC
rnacentral:rRNA from 1 species